GCAGCGCCGGGCGUCCGCCGCGCCCGGCGAGGGUCACAAC
rnacentral:other from 1 species